rnacentral:rRNA from 1 species
UGGGGAAUAUUGCACAAUGGGCGCAAGCCUGAUGCAGCCAUGCCGCGUGUAUGAAGAAGGCCUUCGGGUUGUAAAGUACUUUCAGUCGGGAGGAAGGUGGUAAGGUUAAUAACCUUGGCAAUUGACGUUACCGACAGAAGAAGCACCGGCUAACUCCGUGCCAGCAGCCGCGGUAAUACGGAGGGUGCAAGCGUUAAUCGGAAUUACUGGGCGUAAAGCGCACGCAGGCGGUUGAUUGAGUCAGAUGUGAAAUCCCCGGGCUUAACCCGGGGAAUGCAACUGGUACUUGUCAGCUAGAGUCUUGAAGAAGGGGGUAGAAUUCCAUGUGUAGCGGUGAAAUGCGUAGAGAUGUGGAGGAAUACCGGUGGCGAAGGCGGCCCCCUGGACAAAGACUGACGCUCAGGUGCGAAAGCGUGGGGAGCAAACAGG